rnacentral:rRNA from 1 species
GAUGAACGCUGGCGGCGUGCCUAAUACAUGCAAGUCGAGCGAACGGACGAGAAGCUUGCUUCUCUGAUGUUAGCGGCGGACGGGUGAGUAACACGUGGAUAACCUACCUAUAAGACUGGGAUAACUUCGGGAAACCGGAGCUAAUACCGGAUAAUAUUUUGAACCGCAUGGUUCAAAAGUGAAAGACGGUCUUGCUGUCACUUAUAGAUGGAUCCGCGCUGCAUUAGCUAGUUGGUAAGGUAACGGCUUACCAAGGCAACGAUGCAUAGCCGACCUGAGAGGGUGAUCGGCCACACUAGAACUGAGACACGGUCCAGACUCCUACGGGAGGCAGCAGUAGGGAAUCUUCCGCAAUGGGCGGAAGCCUGACGGAGCAACGCCGCGUGAGUGAUGAAGGUCUUCGGAUCGUAAAACUCUGUUAUUAGGGAAGAACAUAUGUGUAAGUAACUGUGCACAUCCUGACGGUACCUAAUCAGAAAGCCACGGCUAACUACGUG